rnacentral:rRNA from 55 species
CAACUUUCAGCAACGGAUCUCUUGGCUCUCGCAUCGAUGAAGAACGCAGCGAAAUGCGAUAAGUAAUGUGAAUUGCAGAAUUCAGUGAAUCAUCGAAUCUUUGAACGCACCUUGCGCUCCUUGGUAUUCCGAGGAGCAUGCCUGUUUGAGUGUCAUU